AAUAAGUGCAGUUUUGUACUAUUCAUGUUCAACGUUUGACUGUCCGUCUUAUUUGAAAAUUUUUUAUGAUUAGUAUUUUUAUUGCUAUUAGAUAAUAAAACAUGAAUAGUACUUUAUGUGUGACUAAAUGUUUUUAAUUUUUUCAUAAAUUUUUCAAAUAAGACGGACGGUCAAACGUUGAACAUAAAUAGU
rnacentral:pre_miRNA from 1 species